rnacentral:rRNA from 1 species
UUACCCAAUCCCGGCACGGGGAGGUAGUGACAAAAAAUAACAAUGCGGGACUCUUAUGAGGCUUCGUAAUUGGAAUGAGUACAUUCUAAAUCCUUUAACGAGGAACUAUUGGAGGGCAAGUCUGGUGCCAGCAGCCCCGGUAAUUCCAGCUCCAAUAGCGUAUAUUAAAAUUGUUGMGUMUAAAAAGCUMGUAGUUUGAAAACUUGCCUUGGCUUACAAUCGGUCCUUAUGGGCCACCGUUUGUUGAGCGCAAAUAUGGAUGACUGUUUUUGCCGACUUAGUUGUUUGGCUUACAAGAGUUAUCAAAUAUCACUUUGAUUAAAUUAGAGUGCUUAAAGCAAGUGUGUUACUUGGAUAUAAAUGCAUGGAAUGAUGGAAUAUGUUGUUGUUCUAUUUGUUGG